GCUGCUAUAGCUCAGCUGGUAGAGCGCAUCCUUGGUAAGGAUGAGGUCAGCAGUUCAAAUCUGCUUAGCAGCUCCA
rnacentral:tRNA from 1 species